UACAUUUAGACUAAAAGCCAGUUGUAUAAAUACGCUAAACCUGUGCACCAAACCACAUAUGAGAGUAACGUAACAUUCAUCCUUCAUUCAUGAACAAUAUGCCGAGAUGUAGAGACCAUAAGAAUAUAUAAAAUACAUCAACUCGAGACGUAUGAAUCUGUUUAGUAAGGAGCAAUAGCAAUGAGGCAAGCUGUGAGCAGCAUAGUGCUCGCUCGGUGAUGAAUAAAUACAGCUCCGCAAGGAACAACAAGAAGCCAGAGAAAGGGAAAAGUAAAUAAAUCACUUUAUUGCAAGGGAAACGAUUGAAAUCACGUACCGAGAACAUUACACCUGCUUUUCAUAUGACUCAGUCCCAAUCUUUAGACGGGACGUGGUUCCCAUUUUAUGCUGUAAAUUUAAAGAGCGGAGCAACCGAGCAGGAUUCUUCGAAAUCAUCCAUUUGAACGUAAUGCAGUGUGGACAGAGCUUUGUUGGAUAGAAUCCUGUGGCAGGUCAACUGUAGUGCAAAAAUCAAAUAGCGAAAGCAUCUGAAU